GGAGGAAAGAGCACAACUUGUUUUCAUAGUGAAGUGCUUCACUCUACGCAAGAAAAUAUUUCCUGGCAAAAACUUAAUUUUGUUUGGUUAGUCUUUCUAGCUCAGCACAGGAAGCGUCACACCUGCUUCAACUGAAUGGACUUUCAGAAACAUCUACAGUCUUCUGUUUUGGAUCAGCAAAGGACAUUUGAGUCUCCUGAUCUCCUUCAGUCAGGAAAGUGGUGUUGAGUUGGUGGAGAAAUACACAGGGGUUGUGAAAAAAGGGAGAAUCCCUUCAUGUGGAGGAAGAGAAGACCCCAGAAAGAAAUCAGUUCCUGCAUUAGUACCUCCA